rnacentral:tRNA from 1 species
AUUAAAGUGGCAGAGCCUAGUAAAUGCAAAAGACCUAAACUCUUUCUAUCAGAGGUUCAAAUCCUCUCUUUAAUU